rnacentral:lncRNA from 1 species
AGUGCAUCUGCCAGGCCUGCCUCUGGCGCUUGGGAACUGCGUGCCCAUUAUGAGGAUGGGAUAAACUGAGGCUUGCCGGGUGCUGAGGAACACAGCUGUCAGAGGCCACAAGGGUGGUGCGAGAGGCAGCAGACAGAUGGCCCCUAGAGCCGGGCCAGGGCUGGAUCUGGCCUCGGGACAGCUGGGGGCUCCUCCACCCCCUGCUUCUUCAUGGAGGGGGCCGGAGCCUGACAGUUCACCAGUUAGGGGCCACAGCACAGCAAGGGCCAGCACCCAGCAGCCCCCGUGCCCAGGCCUCGGGCCACCAGCAUCCCACAUGGGCGCCGGUUCAAGCCCCGGCUGCUCCACUUCUGAUCCAGCUCUCUGCUACGGCCUGGGAGGGCAGUGGAAGGUGGCCCUAAGCAGAGGUCACACACAACGGCUUCUCCCAGGGGGAUCCUGGCAUCGCUGUCACCAGCCGCCUGGACACAGGGCCCCAGGUCAGUCGCCAUUGCGUGCUGCCCGGCAGGGGCACGGAGCGAGCAGGGAGGCUGCAGCCCUGUCCACAGGAGGCAGAGUGGAGAGAGAGGGCGAGAGCAGCCGCAGCCCUGGCAACACCGCUCUCCGCACGAGCCCCCGGCCAGCAGAGGAGGCAGGGCCCGAGACUAGGGGACUCGGGGUCCCAGAGAUACCCGCUGGGAAAAGCCAGGCUCCCUCUCACCUAGUGAGGCUGGGGGUCUGCCGGAGCAUGGGGGAGACCACGGGGCCCGUGGCACCAGGAGGGCACGCGCGGUCGGAGCCCUCCCAGCCGCACCUCUUAGCCCUCCUGACCAUACGUAGCGGCCCUGGGGUGGAGGGUGGCCCCGAUGUCAGAGUGACUCCCCCAGGUCCUCCCUGCGAGGACUCAGAGCCACAGCCUGGCACUUGAGGCCCACGAGCUGCGGCUCUGCCACCUCCGUGGUCCCCGUCCCCCCGAGACGCGGCUCUGCCACCUCCGUGGUCCCCGUCCCCCCGAGACGCGGCUCUGCCCGCCUCCACGGUCCGCGCUCCCCCCGACACGCGUUCUCUAGAGGUUNNNNNNNNN